rnacentral:rRNA from 1 species
AGGACGCUUCCUUCGGGAAGCGAGCGUACACAGGUGCUGCAUGGCUGUCGUCAGCUCGUGCCGUGAGGUGUCGGGUUAAGUCCCAUAACGAGCGCAACCCCUAUCAUUAGUUGCCAUCAGGUCAAGCUGGGGACUCUAAUGAAACUGCCUACGCAAGUAGUGAGGAAGGUGGGGAUGACGUCAAGUCAGCAUGGCCCUUACGUCCGGGGCUACACACGUGCUACAAUGGCCGGUACAAAGGGUUGCGAAGCCGUGAGGUGGAGCGAAUCUCAAAAAGCCGGCCUCAGUUCGGAUUGGAGGCUGCAACUCGCCUCCAUGAAGUCGGAAUCGCUAGUAACCGCAGAUCAGCUACGUUGCGGUGAAUACGUUCCCGGGCCUU